rnacentral:lncRNA from 1 species
CCUGUACAAAACUCUGUACACUUGAUUUUUCUUUCAGAUGUAGAAAUACGUUCUCAUACACAAUUUCAAAGUGGGAGAGGAAAAUGAUAGCUUGUGAAUGGGAAGAACCAUCAGAUAAGCAAAACGGAUGAAGCCUGACCCCUGGAGUAUUCUGUUUGUCAGGGGAUGUGCUGGAACAUGAAUAUCAACAAGCAGGUUAAUCCUUAGGCUGUCACUUUCUCCCAUGUACACAGCAGCAUGUUUUUUGCUGCUAGAAACCUUGGGGAUCUACGUAAUGUCAGAGAGCAAAUCAGUACCAUGCAGGGCUCAGGAGAAAUGCACUAAUCUGGCCCAACUUGACUGGAAGAUAACUGAUGUAGCUUCUAUGAAUGACCCAAGUGAAUCCAGCAUUGGCUAAUGAAGCAUUUUAAAAUCAUGAAUGAAG